rnacentral:rRNA from 1 species
AAUCUUGCGCAAUGGGCGAAAGCCUGACGCAGCGACGCCGCGUGAGUGAUGAAGGCCUUCGGGUUGUAAAGCUCUGUGGAGGGGGACGAAUAAGGGUUGGCUAACAUCCAGCUCGAUGACGGUACCCCUUUAGCAAGCACCGGCUAACUCUGUGCCAGCAGCCGCGGUAAGACAGAGGGUGCAAACGUUGUUCGGAAUUACUGGGCGUAAAGCGCGUGUAGGCCGCUUGGAAAGUCGGAUGUGAAAGCCCUGGGCUCAACCUAGGAAGUGCAUUCGAAACUUCCAAGCUGGAGUGCUGGAGAGGAAAGCGGAAUUCUCGGUGUAGAGGUGAAAUUCGUAGAUAUCGAGAGGAACACCGGUGGCGAAGGCGGCUUUCUGGACAGUCACUGACGCUGAGACGCGAAAGCGUGGGGAGC